rnacentral:rRNA from 1 species
GCAGGCUUAACACAUGCAAGUCGAACGAUAUAGUGGCAGACGGGUGAGUAACGCGUGGAAACGUGCCUUUCACUACGGAAUAGCUUUUGGAAACGAAAGGUAAUACCGUAUACGCCCUCCGGGGGAAAGAUUUAUCGGUGAAAGAUCGGUCCGCGUUAGAUUAGCUAGUUGGUGAGGUAACGGCUCACCAAGGCUACGAUCUAUAGCUGGUCUGAGAGGAUGAUCAGCCACACUGGGACUGAGACACGGCCCAGACUCCUACGGGAGGCAGCAGUGGGGAAUAUUGCACAAUGGGCGCAAGCCUGAUGCAGCCAUGCCGCGUGAAUGAUGAAGGCCUUAGGGUUGUAAAAUUCUUUCGCCAAGGAUGAUAAUGACAGUACUUGGUAAAGAAGCCCCGGCUAACCUCGUGCCAGCAGCCGCGGUAAUACGAAGGGGGCUAGCGUUGUUCGGAAUUACUGGGCGUAAAGCGCACGUAGGCGGACUUUUAAGUCAGAUGUGAAAUCCCAAGGCUCAACCUUGGAACUGCAUUUGAAACUGGGAGUCUAGAGAUCAGGAGAGGUUAGCGGAAUACCGAGUGUAGAGGUGAAAUUCGUAGAUAUUCGGUGGAACACCAGUGGCGAAGGCGGUUAACUGGACUGAUACUGACGCUGAGGUGCGAAAGUGUGGGGAGCAAACAGGAUUAGAUACCCUGGUAGUCCACACCGUAAACGAUGAGUGCUAGUUGUCUGCAGGCAUGCCUGUAGGUGACGCAGCUAACGCAUUAAGCACUCCGCCUGGGGAGUACGGCCGCAAGGUUAAAACUCAAAGAAAUUGACGGGGGCCCGCACAAGCGGUGGAGCAUGUGGUUUAAUUCGAAGCAACGCGCAGAACCUUACCUACGCUUGACAUGCCCGGACGAUUUCCAGAGAUGGAUCUCUCCCUUCGGGGCCGGUGCACAGGUGCUGCAUGGCUGUCGU